rnacentral:lncRNA from 1 species
CUAGGAGAACCGAAAACAGUUCUAGACAGACCUGGGGUUUUAUAGCAGUUUUGGCAGUCAACUUCAGCUUGUGCCUGAGCAGACCGGCUGCGGUGGCCCGCCAGCCGGGGACGCCAGGCUACCUCCCCCAGCUGCACGCAGCCCCUCUCCUAAUUAGAUCGGCUUUCCCCUUAGUGCCAGGGAGAGGGGGUACCGGCAGAAAGGUCAGAAUGGGGAUAUACACUGUUCUGCGUAAUCAAUGCCUCCUGUGUCCCUGAGAGCCAAGCCGAGAGGGUGCCAGCAGGUCUGGAUCCCAUGGGUAUCUGUAGGAGACAAAGGCAAAUUUCCGAGAAGAGGCUGGGUUGGAGGAAGGCUCUCCCAAAGCAGCUGGCAGGGUAAUUCAAGAAGGCUGUACCGAUGCGGGGUGCCGGGAGGGACACACAGCCCGGAAGAGGGUAUGUUGGGGUGCUGCAGCAAAGAUGGAUGAGGGGAAAGGCUUUUGAUGCCAGGAGAAGAGAAAAUGCCUGGAGUGGCGAAUGUUUUUACUUCCCCAGCAGCGACAGGAGGGGGUGCUCAGAUCCCCAAGGCCUCGGACUUUUCCCAGCUUCGCCCGCUCCUGCCCCUCUUGCCCAGAAUAUACUGGCAGUGUGAAUGUUUGCGGGGGUGGGAGGGAAUAGUUGGGGGUGGGCGCAGAUUGGAGCAUCAGACGAAAUCUGGGCAAGCAGGGGAGGCACAGCUGCAGGUACUUGGUUUUGACUUUGCUUUGAGCCUAACUGACUCUUCCGCUUUGCAGGAGGCCCUACAGCCGAACUGAGCCCACCCUGCUCAGGGGAAGACCUGACGGGUGCUAAGGCCACCUGGAAUGCCAAGUCCGAGUUGUAUUUCUUAAAGAGAUCGAGUGGAUGAGGCUGUGACAUUGGCCCCUGCCGACUGGUUUCCCACGAGCUGUUCUUUCUCAGGAGCUCCACAAAGCGGAGCCAUCUCCAGAAAGCAAUCUUCAGCAUGUAUUUCCUUUUAUCCUCAACCCAGAGCCCCACGGCAGCUAAUGCAAAAGGCCAAAAAUGUUUUGGAGGAAGAAAAACAAAGGCAGGAAGUGGCGGCGGCCUGACGGUGCGUGUGUGUCUGCGGAGAAGGGAGGGAGCCGUUUCAAUCUCUUCUUGUUGUUUUUCCAAACUUCAAGGUCUAGGCAGCCCUCGCAGGGCCGGGCCCUUUCGUUCCCCAAGCCACGUUUGGAGAUGGCCACCCGGAGAGGAGAAGGCUGGCGCCCCCGCGUCAGCGUGGUCAGGCGGAAACGGCUAACGAGGCGAUUUGCUCAGCAAAGCAGACCGAGCCUUUGCAAGGCUCCGUGUGAUUUGGCCUUAAAUGGGGGGGGUGGGGGGUGGGGGUUGAGGGGUUCGGCAGCACCUCCCGGAUCCUCCUGCUGGGG